GCUAAGUUGGAAACCCGAAAGGGCGGCUUAGGCAAAAAUGAGCGUAUCGGUGGAUUGAAAACCUGAAAGGGCGAUCUAGGCAAAAGUUAGAGACAUAAAACAAAAAGAAUUAUCCCGAUAAAUUGAAUACCCCACCUUGGGGAAAUUUAGGCAAAAAUUAGGGAUUAUGGCAGGUAAUUGCAUCCUGUUGAUCUUCAGUUUUGAGGACAUUGUUGAGCAAGGUGGUCCGG
rnacentral:lncRNA from 1 species